rnacentral:tRNA from 1 species
GCCGGUGUGGUGUAGUGGUUAGCAUAGGAGCUUGUGGAGCUCUUGACGCGAGUUCAAUGCAACCCUUUUCGGUGCGAGACAUGAAAAAGGUCUGCACCCCAAAAGGAUGGUGAAAAUCUCGCCACCGGCC